rnacentral:rRNA from 1 species
GAAUAUUGGACAAUGGGCGAAAGCCUGAUCCAGCAAUGCCGCGUGAGUGAUGAAGGCCUUAGGGUUGUAAAGCUCUUUCGGCGGGGACGAUGAUGACGGUACCCGCAGAAGAAGCCCCGGCUUACUCCGUGCACGCAGCCGCGGUAAUACGGAGGGGGCUAGCGUUGUUCGGAAUUACUGGGCGUAAAGGGCGCGCAGGCGGCUGCUCAAGUCAGGCGUGAAAGGCCUGGGCUCAACCCGGGAAUUGCGCUUGAGACUGAGCUGGCUUGAGUGCGGGAGAGGAUGGUGGAAUUCCCAGUGUAGAGGUGAAAUUCGUAGAUAUUGGGAAGAACACCGGUGGCGAAGGCGGCCAUCUGGACCGUAACUGACGCUGAGGCGCGAAAGCGUGGGGAGCAAACAGG